CCCUACGGGAGGCAGCAGUGGGGAAUCCUACGGGAGGCAGCAGUGGGGAAUUUUGCACAAUGGGGGAAACCCUGACGCAGCAACGCCGCGUGCAUGAUGAAGUCCGGAGCGUAGUAAAGUCCGCAGCCCGUUGAAUAAUGACGGUACCGGAAGAAGAAGCACACGUAUGAG
rnacentral:rRNA from 1 species